CUUGCUCUCCCCCUCUCCGCAUCCCCCCCACACACACACACAUGUCAAUGGCCAGCCUACCAUAAAUGCCUACAAACCAUCCCAACCACUUUCACCGCUGCCAAGCUGCCGCCCAGGCAAGCCAAGGAUUCUCCUCCCCAUGGGAACCAGCUGGAGCUCUCUCCUCCUGUCCUUUCACCUGAGGCCCUGAGCUAGAGCCAGCCCUGUGGGUCCCCAACUCUGUUCUCAGCUCUUCUGCCAGCAUCCAGUGGUGUGUGUGGUGCCCAAGAGCUAGAAACUGCUAUUCCUGCCCUCUGUGUAUGCCUGGAGGCCUGAGCCAAUUCUGGCAGGUUUGUGGGGACCUCAGACUGCACUUCCCCACAUCCGGAGCAGGGUCCUGCAGCUUCUCACAGCCCAAGGUUCACUUAUCAGUGGUAGCAUAAGGUUUUUCUGCAGCCUGAGCCAAAGGUUUCACAUGGAGACUGAAAAAGAGAGAUGAUAUGGGCAGUAUGUGCAAUCAAGGAUUUGUGCUCAUGAAGCUCGGACUAAUAGGAUGACUCCACCGGAAGAGAAGAGCUACAUCACCACAGCCUCACUCAGUACCCUCAACCCUGCAAACUAAAGAGAGAUACAUAGGGGAUUGAGGUGUGUCAUAUUCCCCGCUGCUGCCUGAAGAUCAAUAUGUAAAACACUCAGCUCCUUCUCCAGUAUCAUAUCUACCUGCAUUCCACCUUGCUUCUUACCAUGGCGAUAAUAGACUAAACUACUGAAACUAUGCCAGUGGAGGCCAGAAGAAAGCAUUGGAUCCCCUUGAACGGGAGUCAUAGGAAAUUGUAAGCCACAUGAUAUGGUUUCAGGAAUCGAACUUUGCUCUUCUGGAAGAACAGCAAUAUCUCUUAACUACCAAACCAUCUCUCCAGCUGUAUGAUUGCUAGAUUUGUGGUGAUAUAUGAUAUGAGUAACAGAGAAAUGUGUAAAACACAUAUGUCAAUGGGAAACCUGAUAAAUUCAAUCAUGAUAUGUCCCUGUACACUCCAUGGAACUCACUGUUUCUAAGAACAGAAAUAC